GAGCCCCAGCCCCGGGAGUCCCAGGUGUUCCCAUUCUGUGAUCAGGACAGAACACAGACAUCUCACCAUGGACUUUGUGCUUGGCUGGGUUUUCCUUGUUGCUGUUUUAAAAGGUGUCCAGUGUGAGGAGCAGCUGGUGGAGUCUGGGGGAGGCCUGGUGAAGCCUGGAGGGUCCCUGAGACUCUCCUGUGCAGCCUCCGGAUUCACCUUCAGUAGCUACGGCAUGAGCUGGGUCCGCCAGGCUCCAGGGAAGGGGCUGGAGUGGGUUGCAGUUAUUAGCAAAGAUGGAAGUAGCACUUACUAUGCAGACUCCGUGAAGGGCCGGUUCACCAUCUCCAUAGACAACGCCAAGAACACAGUGGAUCUACAGAUGAACAACCUGAGAGUCGAAGACACGGCCACAUAUUUCUGUGCGAGAGACACAGUGAGGAGUCAUCAGG